GUGUGUUUAUUUUACUGGGUGUGUGUAAUGUUUAUUCAGUAAAUCUCUGUUAGUAUGUGAACUUUCCCAAACCAUCCGUGAGAUGUAAUGUCUUCAGCGGGUCCUGGGUCUGCCCUGAGCUCUCCACUAACAUGUGCCUGGUACAUGUUAGAUAACAAGAACCUUAAUUAUACACUCCCCUCCGAAACUAUUGGAACGGCAAGGCCAGAUCGUUUUGUUUUUGCUGUAGACCGAAGACAUUUGGGUUUGAGAUCACAAGAUGAAUAUGAGAAGAGAGGUUAGAAUUUCAGCUUCUAUUUCCUGGUAUUUAUACGUAGACGUGUUAAACGACACAGAACACAGCACGCUUUGUAUCAGAACACCCGAUUUGUAGGCGAAAAAAAAAAUGUGACUGACAGGUGUUUCUUGUUACCCAGGUGUGUCCUGUUAGAUUGAUUAAACUAUAAAAAGCUCUGAACAGCUACAAUUGCUUUUAGCCUUCAGUUUCACCUGUGAAGAAUGCAUUUGUUGACCCAUGAAGAUCCGUGAGCUGUCUAUGGGAGAAAAGCGAGUCAUUUUGAAGAUGAGAAAAGUGGGAAACACAAUCAGAUUACAGAAUCAUUACAGUCAUUACUGAAACAUCGGGUGUAACCAAUACGACGAUUUGGAAUGUCCUGAAAAAGAAAGAAAACGCUGGUGUACUGAGGAUCAGACACCGAACGGGUCGGAUAAGGAAAAAAACAACAGGUGAUGAUAGAAACAUUGUGAGAGCUGUGAAGAAAACCCCAAAACAACAGUCAGUGACAUCACCAACAACCUCCACAGGGCAGGGUGAAGGUCUCACAAUCCACCGCUCGAAGAAGACUUCGAGAGCAGAAAUUUAGAGGCCGUACCACAAGAUUGAAACCACUCAUCAGCAGUAAGAAUCAGAAAGUCAGAUUGUAAUUCACAAAGAAAUACUGAGAUGAUCCACAAAAGUUCUGGAACAAAGAUGAACCUCUACCAAAGUGAUGGAAAGUCCAAAGUGUGGAGAAAGAAAGGAUCUGCUCAUGAUCCAGAACGUACAAGCUGAUCUGUGGAACAUGGUGGAGGUAGCGUCAUGGCUUGGGCUUGCACGGCUGCUUCUGGAACGUUCUCCCUGAUCUUUAUUGAUGAUGAACUCAUGAUGGAGCAGCAGAAUGAAUUCAGACGUUUACAGGAACAUUUUAUCUGCAGAUUUACAGAGAAACGCAUCCGAAUGAAUCAGGAGGAACUUCAUCAUGCAGCGAGACAACGAUCCAAAACACACUUCCACCUCGACACAGGACUUCAUCAGGGGAAA
ensembl:lncRNA